rnacentral:rRNA from 1 species
CCCUACGGGGCGCAGCAGUGAGGAAUAUUGGUCAAUGGCCGAGAGGCUGAACCAGCCAAGUCGCGUGAGGGAAGACGGCCCUACGGGUUGUAAACCUCUUUUGUCGGGGAGCAAAGCGAGUCACGUGUGACUCAUUGAGAGUACCCGAAGAAAAAGCAUCGGCUAACUCCGUGCCAGCAGCCGCGGUAAUACGGAGGAUCCGAGCAUUAUCCGGAGUGACUGGGUGUAAAGAGUUGCGUAGGUGGCAUAAUAAGUAGCUAGUGAAAUCUGGUGGCUCAACCAUUCAGACUAUUAGCUAAACUGUU